CUAGUUACUGCCUGUCACAGUAACAUGAUCACGAAGGUGGUUUUUCUAGGGUGAGGUUAUUUAUACAUUGCACUCUGGAUGUGCUGACCCCUGCUAUUUCCCCAGAUGUGGGAAACUCGACUGCAUAUUUUGUGGUAGCAGAAGACUGUGUUUGUGCUCUCCCAUA
rfam:Erinaceus europaeus unplaced genomic scaffold scaffold00842, whole genome shotgun sequence